rnacentral:rRNA from 1 species
UACGAGGUGGCAACGUUGCUCGGAAUUAUUGGGCGUAAAGCGCAAGCGUAGGCGGCAUUGCAAGUCGGAUGUGAAAUCCCUCGGCUUAAACCAAGGAAGUGGCAUCCGAAACCUGCAGUGCUUUGAAGUACUUAAGAGGAUCGCGGAAUUCCCGGUGUGAAGAGGUAGAAAUUCGUAGAUAUACGGGAGGAACACCAGUGGCGAAGGGCG